GAUAGAGGAUGCGAAAGCGAUUAUUACCCUUGGCCAUUAUGCUCGGCAAAGGCGGCCGUGGGGAAAGGCUCUUUCGCCGAAGUUUAUUUUUCGGUUGCCGCCGAAAGAUGAGCUGGGAUCUUGCCGAACAGGCACGGUACUGUCACAUUUUUAUGUGGAGAGCUAUC
rnacentral:ncRNA from 1 species